rnacentral:rRNA from 1 species
AUGUACCGUAUGUGGCAGACCUCUGAAAACUUUCCCAUUUCUCUUAUUCCAAGUAUUCCAGCAUCCAAGAAUAACUAUUUCUGUGGCAAGUUGUUGCGGAAUUUUUCUAUCGCCAGUAGUGUUUCCUCGUAUAUUGAAGUACCUCUUGCCUUAUGGGAAUUAGAGUGUUCCAACAAUCCUGUGCAAAAUUACAGUCCCAAAGCAGGUGAAGGGCUAUCUCUUCAGCAUUCUGAUUGUAGUUUCGGCAGUGAGGAUUGUUCAGUUGCACGCCUUUUCUCUGUAGGAGUGAUCUGGUGUUGA